rnacentral:rRNA from 1 species
UACGUAGGGUGCGAGCGUUGUCCGGAAUUACUGGGCGUAAAGAGCUCGUAGGCGGUCUGUCGCGUCUGACUGUGAAACUCAGGCGUUAACCCUGAGCUUGCAGUGGGUACGGGCAGACUAGAGGUGCGGUAAGGGGAGACUGGAAUUCCGUGGGUGAUAGCGGUGAAAUGCGCAGAUAUCAGGAGGAACACCGAUGGCGAAGGCAGGUCUCUGGGCCAAUUAACUGACACU